CUUCUACUAUUACCACUCCCUGGGCCAAGCAUACAAACCAUCAGUCAGGUAUCUCCAUUUGUGGAGGCAUAUGGCUGUUGUGUAUCCUUGACUUUGCCACCAAGGAGGGAGACAUUGUCUCAUAUUCUGACUUGACAACUCUGAGGGAAGACCACUUUGGACACUCCUAUGUCCUCAGCCAACCAUGGAGAAGUAUUGUGAAUGGAAGACACCAUCCCUAAGACAUUGCCGGAUUCAUAAGACAUCCACUCGGUCAGAGGAGGGAGUACAUAUCAGGAUAAGAAUAUGAUGGGAUGAGAGAGGCCAACUCAUGCCUAUUGCACUGUUCCCCAGGCAUUAAGUUAUAAGUACGGUAUAUAGAGUUGUAAGCCAACUGUGGGUAAUGCAAUGAAUCAGGACCCAGUUCUGCCG
rnacentral:lncRNA from 1 species